rnacentral:rRNA from 1 species
AUUGAACGCUGGCGGCAGGCCUAACACAUGCAAGUCGAACGAGUGGCGGACGGGUGAGUAAUGUCUGGGAAACUGCCUGAUGGAGGGGGAUAACUACUGGAAACGGUAGCUAAUACCGCAUACCAUCAGAUGUUGCUAGGUGGGGUUGGCUAGUUGGUGGGGUAAAGGCCCACCAAGGCAAGGAUCCGUGACUGGUCUGAGAGGAUGGACAGGCCCACUGGAACUGAGACACGGUCCAGACUCCUACGGGAGGCAGCAGUGGGGAAUAUUGGAUAAGGGGAGAAAGCCUGAUCCAGCCAUGCCGCGUGUGUGAAGAAGGUCUUCGGAUUGUAAAGCACUUUAAGUUGGGAGGCGUUACCAAAAGAAUAAGCACCGGCUAACUUCGUGCCAGCAGCCGCGGUAAUUC